GAAAUUAGAGGCACACUGCCCGACAGGAAAAAAAACCAUUGAGAGAGAGAAAGAAAGAUCAGAAUACAUCCUAGAAAUUAUACACACGCAGUAGAGAGAGGUAAAAUAUUUUGAAGAGAAAGCAAGCUAAUUUUAUUGACGCAGUCAAGAAAUUCAGAAAUUUGGAACACGCAUUCAUAUUUUUGGAAUUUUAAUAUCAAGGUAAGAUACAUUUAUGUGCAAAGUGUUUACGUUUCCUUAUGCUCUUAUAUGCGAUUAAAUAUGCAUGGAAUGCUAGUGGACCUACGGGUUCUAGAGAAAGAUAUAUGAAAUUUCUACAUGGAAAUUAAGAGGACCUAAGAUGGGUGUGUCACUUGGUCAUCGAUAUACUCCAUAAGAGAAGAGCGGUAUGAAGUGUAUUAUUUAUUUGUUAUAUAUCUGUGUAAGAAAAUUUGCACGUAUCUUACUGGGUAUUUUUAAAAUACUCACUCUUACAUUAAUUUUACAGAUUAGUUCGGGUCGAUUGGAG
rnacentral:lncRNA from 1 species